rnacentral:rRNA from 1 species
AGAGGGUGAUCGGCCACAUUGGAACUGAGAAACGGUCCAAACUCCUACGGGAGGCAGCAGUGGGAAUAUUGGGCAAUGGGCGAAAGCCUGACCCAGCAACGCCGCGUGAGGGAAGAAGGUUUUCGGAUUGUAAACCUCUGUCCUCAGGGACGAAGGAAGUGACGGUACCUGAGGAGGAAGCCCCGGCUAACUACGUGCCAGCAGCCGCGGUAAUACGUAGGGGGCAAGCGUUGUCCGGAAUGACUGGGCGUAAAGGGCGUGUAGGCGGCCUGAUAAGUAUGAAGUGAAAGUCCUGCUUUCAAGGUGGGAAUUGCUUUGUAGACUGUCGGGCUUGAGUGCGGAAGAGGUAAGUGGAAUUCCCAGUGUAGCGGUGAAAUGCGUAGAGAUUGGGAGGAACACCAGUGGCGAAGGCGACUUACUGGGCCGUAACUGACGCUGAGGCGCGAAAGCGUGGGGAGCGAACAGGAUUAGAUACCCUGGUAGUCCACGCUGUAAACGAUGAAUGCUAGGUGUAGGGGGUAUCGACCCCUCCUGUGCCGGAGUAAACGCAAUAAGCAUUCCGCCUGGGGAGUACGGCCGCAAGGUUGAAACUCAAAGGAAUUGACGGGGGCCCGCACAAGCAGCGGAGCAUGUUGUUUAAUUCGAUGCUACGCGAAGAACCUUACCAGGUCUUGACAUCCAAUUAAAGUCAUAGAGAUAUGAUGUCUCUUCGGAGGAAUUGAGACAGGUGGUGCAUGGUUGUCGUCAGCUCGUGUCGUGAGAUGUUGGGUUAAGUCCCGCAACGAGCGCAACCCUUAUGAUCAGUUACUAACGGGAAAGCCGAGGACUCUGAUAAGACUGCCGGGGACAACUCGGAGGAAGGUGGGGACGACGUCAAAUCAUCAUGCCCCUUAUGACCUGGGCUACAAACGUGCUACAAUGGCGACUACAAAGAGAAGCGAGUCUGUGAAGAUAAGCGGAUCUCAAAAAAGCCGUCCCAGUUCGGAUUGUGGGCUGCAACCCGCCCACAUGAAGUUGGAGUUGCUAGUAAUCGCGGAUCAGAAUGCCGCGGUGAAUACGUUCCCGGGCCUUGUACACACCGCCCGUCACACCAUGGGAGUUGGGAGCACCAGAAGCCGGUGAGCUAACGCAAGGAGCAGCCGUCUAAGGUGAGACCGAUGACUGGGGUGAAGUCGUAACAAGGUAGCCGUAUCGGGAGGUGCGGCUG